rnacentral:rRNA from 1 species
AGAGUUUGAUCCUGGCUCAGAACGAACGCUGGCGGCAUGCCUAACACAUGCAAGUCGAACGCUUAGGCUUUGGCCUAGGAGUGGCGCACGGGUGAGUAGCGCGUGGGAACCUGCCUUGUUGUGGGGGAUAACCGAGGGAAACUUCGGCUAAUACCGCAUGCGCCCGGGCAACCGGGGAAAGAUUUAUCGCAGCAAGAGGG